UUAAGCUACUAAGAGCGUAGGGGGAAUGCCUUGGCACCAAGAGCCGAAGAAGGACGUGAUAAGCUGCGAAAAGCUACGGGGAGGAGCACAUAUCCAAAGAGCCGUAGAUAUCCGAAUGAGGGAACUCAAUCUAGGUAAAUGCUAGAUUAUCAUCACAUGAGUAAAGUAGUGUGAAUGAGGGGAACGUGGGGAACUGAAACAUCUUAGUACCCAUAGGAAGAGAAAAUAAAAAUGAUUCCGUAAGUAGUGGCGAGCGAAAGCGGAAAAGCCCAAACCUGAGUGAGCAAUCACUAGCAGGGGUUAGGACAUGCAACAAAUUCCAAGAAAGAGUGUAGUAGAAGUGUUUUGGGAAAGCACACCAAAGAGAGUGAAAGUCUCGUAUAUGAAACACGAAAGAAGGAAGAGUAUGAUCCAGAGUAAGACAGGACACGAGAAAUCCUGUGUGAAUGAGCGGGGACCAUCCCGUAAGGCUAAAUACUACUUGGUGACCGAUAGUGAAAUAGUACCGUGAGGGAAAGGUGAAAAGAACCCCGGGAGGGGAAUGAAAUAGAAUCUGAAACCCUAUGCUUACAAGCAGAUAGAGCACGUUAAAGUGUGAUAUCGUACUUUUUGCAGAACGGUCCGGCGAGUUACUGUAUAUGGCAAGGAGAAGAGUCUAAGACUAAUAUCCGAAGCGAAAGCGAGUCUGAAUAGGGCGAAAUAAGUCAUGUGCAGUAGACCCGAAACCGAGUGACCUAUCCAUGUCCAGGAUGAAGCUAGAGUGAAAUCUAGUGGAGGUCCGCACCAGUAGACGUUGAAAAGUCUUUGGAUGAGGUGUGGAUAGCGGAGAAAUUCUAAUCGAACUCGGAUAUAGCUGGUUCUCCUCGAAAUAGCUUUAGGGCUAGCCUUGAACAAAAACCGUAUGGGGGUAGAGCACUGAAUGAGCUAGGGGCCAAACAAAGGUUACCAAACUUUAUCAAACUACGAAUACCAUGCGGGAGGUUCAGGAGUCAGACUACGGGAGCUAAGUUCCGUGGUCAAAAGGGAAAGAGCCCAGACCGUCAAUUAAGGUCCCAAAGAUAUAACUAAGUGGAAAACGAUGUGAUUUUGCGCAGACAACCAGGAUGUUGGCUUAGAAGCAGCCAUUCAUUUAAAGAGUGCGUAAUAGCUCACUGGUCGAGUGAAGUUGCGCGGAAAAUUACCGGGGCUAAGUUAUACACCGAAAUUGCGGAUUCAUUAAGAAAUUAAUGAGUGGUAGAGGAGCGUUCUAUACAGGAUGAAGUAUGAUCGAGAGGACAUAUGGACAGUAUAGAAGAGAGAAUGCCGGAAUGAGUAGCGAGAGCAAAGUGAGAAUCUUUGCCGUCGAAAAUCUAAGGUUUCCUGGGGAAGGUUCGUCCGCCCAGGGUAAGUCGGGACCUAAGGUGAGGCCGAAGGGCGUAGCCGAUGGACAGCAGGUUAAGAUUCCUGCACCAGUAUACAUGUAUAAUGCAUAAGAGGACACAUUUGAAGAAGGUGAGCGAGGAAGAGGAAAAACUCGUAUGGCAACAUAUAGUGAAAUUAAGUAACGAAUCAUCAAGAGGCAAGUGGCGAGAAAAGUCUUAUGUAGUUGUGUAGACUGCCCGUACCGCAAACCGACACAGGUAGAUGAGGAGAGGAUCCUAAGACGAGCGGGAGAAGCAUUGUUAAGGAACUCGGCAAAUUGACCCCGUAACUUAGGGAUAAGGGGUGCUGGUGUAAAAACCAGUCGCAGUAAAUAGGCCCAAGCAACUGUUUAACAAAAACACAGGUUUCUGCUAAAUCGCAAGAUGAAGUAUAGGAGCUGACUCCUGCCCAGUGCUGGAAGGUUAAGGGGAAAGGUUAAGAAUAAUUCAUUAUAUCUGAAGCUUUGAACUCAAGCCCCAGUGAACGGCGGCCGUAACUAUAACGGUCCUAAGGUAGCGAAAUUCCUUGUCGGGUAAG
rnacentral:rRNA from 1 species